GUGCCAGCCGCCGCGGUAAUACAGAGGAUGCAAGCGUUAUCCGGAAUCACUGGGCAUAAAGCGUCUGUAGGUUGUUUAGUAAGUCUGCUGUUAAAGACUGGGGCUUAACCCCAGAAAAGCAGUGGAAACUGCUAGACUUGAGUGUGGUAGAGGUAGAGGGAAUUCCUAGUGUAGCGGUGAAAUGCGUAGAUAUUAGGAAGAACACCAAUGGCGAAGGCACUCUACUGGGCCAUAACUGACACUGAGAGACGACAGCUAGGGGAGCAAACGGGAUUAGAUACCCCGGUAGUCCUAGCCGUAAACGAUGGAUACUAGAUGUUGCACGUAUUAACCCGUGCAGUAUCGUAGCUAAGGCGUUAAGUAUCCCGCCUGGGAAGUACGCUCGCAAGAGUGAAACUCAAAGGAAUUGGCGGGG
rnacentral:rRNA from 1 species